rnacentral:rRNA from 1 species
GAUGAACGCUGACAGAAUGCUUAACACAUGCAAGUCUUUGGCGAAUCUGUGCUUGCACAGGCUAGCCAAGGCGGACGGGUGAGUAACGCGUAAAGAACUUGCCCUGCAGACAGGGAUAACAGACGGAAACGACUGAUAACACCUGAUACAGUUGCCGGCACGCAUGUGCCUGGCAAUGAAAAGAGAUGCAGCAGGAGAGCUUUGCGUCCUAUUAGCUUGUUGGUGAGGUGACGGCUCACCAAGGCGAUGAUAGGUAGCCGGCCUGAGAGGGUGAACGGCCACAAGGGGACUGAGAUACGGCCCUUACUCCUACGGGAGGCAGCAGUGGGGAAUAUUGGACAAUGGGGGCAACCCUGAUCCAGCAAUUCUGUGUGCACGAAGAAGGUUUUCGGAUUGUAAAGUGCUUUCAGCAGGGAAGAAGAAAGUGACGGUACCUGCAGAAGAAGCGACGGCUAAAUACGUG